rnacentral:rRNA from 1 species
UACUCCUACGGGAGGCAGCAGUUAGGAAUUUUGGGCAAUGGGCGAAAGCCUGAUGCAGCAACGCCGCGUGUACGAUGAAGGCCUUCGGGUUGUAAAGUACUUUUAUGAGGGAAGAGCAAGGACUGUACCUCAUGAAUAAGGAUCGGCUAACUACGUGCCAGCAGCCGCGGUAAU